rnacentral:lncRNA from 1 species
UUCUUUCCGACCUAGGUACCGACAAUACCCCACUUAUCCAUCCCAUUACUCAUACCAGGCACACUCUCGACCUGUCUAUCGUACUACCAUUAACUAUCAUCGACCCCGACCAAAUUAUCCAAACACACCCAUAACACUAUUUCAUAUUUUUUCACCUAACUUUCAAACUAGAUCUCGCCCUCCUUAUAAUCCCAAACCUGCCCCACCAAACAAACAGAACUACAACCAUCCUCAAACCCAU